CUUCACUGCUCGACGUUCGUUGUUUAAUUAUUUGAGCUACGUGUUUUUAUGGUUAAAUCAGUGGGCUUUUUGAUUAUUGUCUAAAAAGCCCAUAUACUUUAGGGUUUAUUCAGUUUUAUACGUCGUGGUUCCUCACUUCUCACCACCGAAGACUGUCGUCGUUGUAACAUCUUCAUUAAUCAUCACUUGAAAACAUUUAUCCAAGCAUUAAGAUUUUCUGCACCACUCCUCCCACUCUCUCGAAUUAAAUCGACCAUAACAUCCUCCAAAGUAUUUUCCUGAAGCUUCACCUAUAAAUGGAUUUGUUGCCUAGGAUGAACAGUACUAUCAAAACGAAAUCCCAAAGGUCUUCCUCUGUCAAGCAUCAAAUCCAUCAAUGGCGAAUCAUUUACUCUUCUCCCCGAUUUUAAAGCCAAACACUGUUCAAACACAGCCGAGAGAUUCUGAGAGGCAAGAAAUGUUAAGAAAGGCUGCCAACUCAUGGAUGUCCACAUGCUUCUCCUUGACGAGCAGGUUCUAUCGCUUAAUACUUUCAGAAAUCUCUUGAAGGAACGAGGGAUGUACGAGUUUCGUGGUAUUGAUGUCGCUGGAAGCAACAGCCACGUCAAAGUCUCCGACGCACCAGUUUCUAUAUGUUUCACUGACCACACGAGCUUUGUCGAGGUCAUGGAACCGACAGUGAACCAUCCAACAGAGAAGUUUCGUUUACAAAUGUAUGAUCAACUCAUGGCUUUGGCUAACACUAACGUGGAUUUGGCUGGUUUGUAUAACAACUUUCAACUCAUACUUUAACCGUAUGUCCUCCAUUCAAGCAGAUAACUAGCAGAUGCUCCUAACACUUAUGUUUGCAAUGUUUGUUUCAGACAUCAUGGGCAAAGUUAGUAGUAUAAACAUUGUUUUUAAUGAUGAAAACCAGUCCAUAUAGCUGGUCUUAAAAUGUUAACUGACUGAAGUUUUGUUUCAGGUCGGCUUCCUGAAUGCAACCUCUGAAAUUCAUUUCUAUUUUGAUAAUGAAAAUGGUGCAGGUACAAGUUAUCUUGACACGUAAAUAGGACAUGGGGCAGUGGAAAAGGCUUGACCUCCCGCCCUACAAAAUAUGGGGGUGUUAAGAAGAUUAAAUGGAUGGUUCUACAUUUCUUGCUCCAAGUGCUACCGGGAAUUGCAGGGUGGGUUUACAUCAUUCACAUGGGCUUCCUGCAAUGAAGUGAACGCUGUUGGUAUCAUUAGAUAAGUCACGUUCUUAUUUUUUAGGAAACGGUUACUAAUAUUUUCACAUUCUUUCGCUUAUGAAGGCCGCAGGUGUACAAGAGCCACAGGAUUGUGACCUUCCACAAUGCUUAGAGGAGAUUAUUGGGAGUACUUUAACCUUCCAAUUGAACCUACCUCACUUCAACUUCACUGCAAAACAUCAGAGCUUCACCGCCUCUUGCAUUCUUGACCACAACCAGCGCCCUCCCCAGCGUAAUUUUGAGGUUCAUGGUGGGAAUGACAACCCUGAAGAUAAUAUGCCAGGUGCUGGAGCAAUAAAAAAACCCCACAGUAUUGGACUUAAGAGCACACUGUGAAUGAUGGUAAUCGUGUUGGUAAUGGUGAUGUUGAAGGUGGAAGAGGUGAGGCAUCAGAUCCACGAGAUAACUCUGUUGACGGAAGCAGCACAGGAGAGGGGGCACCUGUGGAGGAAGAUUGGUGUUCUGCAGAGAAGACACAGAAUGAGUAAAAACGUUAAGAGAUCAAGGGGUGCUUAGGUUGCAAGAGAGGAUGCCGUUUCUAUGCAUUAGUUUUUAAAUAAGAUUUCCAGACACUAUUACGUCUGAGUACUACAAAGUUUCUGCUUUUAUUAUUUCCAGUUUUUUUUGAAACACUAUUUCCAGUUUUCUUAUUGUAACUUAUUUCCAAUUUUUUUUUUGUUUAGAACAUUUUAGUCAUAUCAGUCUUUUUUUUGCAUUUAAAAAUAUCAA